UCAGGACGAACGCUGGCGGCGUGCUUCAUACAUGCAAGUCGAACGAGAAGCUGACUUCGGUCAGUGGAAAGUGGCGGACGGGUGAGUAAUAUGUAGGAAAUCUGCCCUAGAGAGGGGGACAACAGAGGGAAACUUCUGCUAAUACCCCAUAUGAGCUUAGUUGAAAUACUAAUCUUGAAAACUCCGGUGCUCUGGGAUGAGCCUGCAUCUGAUUAGCUAGUUGGCGGUGUAAUGGACCACCAAGGCGACGAUCAGUAGCUGGUUUGAGAGGAUGAUCAGCCACAAUGGGACUGAGACACGGCCCAUACUCCUACGGGAGGCAGCAGUAGGGAAUUUUGCGCAAUGGGCGAAAAAGCCUGACGCAGCAACGCCGCGUGAACGAUUAAGCCCUUCGGGGUGUAAAGUUCUGUCAGUGGGGACGAAACUUGACGGUACCCACAGAGGAAGCACCGGCUAACUCCGUGCCAGCCGCCGC
rnacentral:rRNA from 1 species